rnacentral:rRNA from 1 species
UACGUAGGGUCCGAGCGUUGUCCGGAAUUAUUGGGCGUAAAGGGCUCGUAGGCGGUUUGUCGCGUCGGGAGUGAAAACCUACAGCUUAACUGUGGGCUUGCUUUCGAUACGGGCAGACUUGAGGCAUGCAGGGGAGAACGGAAUUCCUGGUGUAGCGGUGAAAUGCGCAGAUAUCAGGAGGAACACCGGUGGCGAAGGCGGUUCUCUGGGCAUGUUCUGACGCUGAGGAGC